AAUARGAMCUCUGCAACGAUUACGGWGAAGGCGUUGCCGGACCUUGCMCACMCCGCCCGUCAAGCCAUGGGAGCCGGGUGUACCUAAAGUCGGUAACCGCAAGGAUCUGCCUAGGGUAAAAUCGGUGACUGGGGCUAAGUCGUAACAAGGUAACC
rnacentral:rRNA from 1 species